rnacentral:rRNA from 1 species
AGCGAACGCUGGCGGCAGGCCUAACACAUGCAAGUCGAACGAACUCUUCGGAGUUAGUGGCGGACGGGUGAGUAACACGUGGGAACGUGCCUUUAGGUUCGGAAUAACUCAGGGAAACUUGUGCUAAUACCGAAUGUGCCCUUCGGGGGAAGGAUUUAUCGCCUUUAGAGCGGCCCGCGUCUGAUUAGCUAGUUGGUGAGGUAAAGGCUCACCAAGGCGACGAUCAGUAGCUGGUCUGAGAGGAUGAUCAGCCACAUUGGGACUGAGACACGGCCCAAACUCCUACGGGAGGCAGCAGUGGGGAAUCUUGCGCAAUGGGCGAAAGCCUGACGCAGCCAUGCCGCGUGAAUGAUGAAGGUCUUAGGAUUGUAAAAUUCUUUCACCGGGGACGAUAAUGACGGUACCCGGAGAAGAAGCCCCGGCUAACUUCGU